UACAGAGGGGGCAAGCGUUGUUCGGAAUUACUGGGCGUAAAGGGCGCGUAGGCGGCCUGCUAAGUCGGAUGUGAAAUCCCGGGGCUCAACCCCGGAACUGCAUUCGAUACUGCCCUGCUCGAGUACUGGAGAGGAGAUCGGAAUUUACGGUGUAGCAGUGAAAUGCGUAGAUAUCGUAAGGAAGACCAGUGGCGAAGGCGGAUCUCUGGACAGUUACUGACACUGAGGCACGAAGGCCAGGGGAGCAAACGGG
rnacentral:rRNA from 1 species